rnacentral:rRNA from 1 species
UACGGAGGGAGCUAGCGUUGUUCGGAAUUACUGGGCGUAAAGCGCACGUAGGCGGAUUUGUAAGUCAGGGGUGAAAUCCCGGGGCUCAACCUCGGAACUGCCUUUGAUACUGCAAAUCUCGAGUCCGGAAGAGGUGAGUGGAAUUCCUAGUGUAGAGGUGAAAUUCGUAGAUAUUCGCAAGAACACCAGUGGCGAAGGCGGCUCACUGGCCCGGAACUGACGCUGAGACGCGAAAGCGUGGGGAGCAAACAGG